AGGACCAAUGAUGAUGACUGGUGGCGUGUGAGUCACUCACAAUGAGCACUGUGUGUCUGGAACUCUGAGGUCCAA
rnacentral:snoRNA from 1 species